AUGGCUGUUCACGAGGUCUUCCUCAUAUUAGCUAUGGCGGUGGUAGUUUCUGCUAUAGAUGGUACUUGGUACGAUGCGCGUGCGACUUUUUACGGUGACAUGGGCGGUGGCGAAACCAUGCAGGGAGCUUGCGGAUAUGGAGAUCUCAUCAAACAAGGUUAUGGACUAGCGACAACAGCACUAAGCACCGCCCUUUUCAACGAAGGACUUAGCUGCGGUGCUUGUUUCGAGAUCUAUUGUAACAACGCCCCCAAGUCGUGCAUUCCCAAGGCUGCUCCAAUCAUAGUCACGGCAACAAAUUUUUGCCCCCGAACUACACUAAGACGAAGGACGUCUGGUGCAAUCCUCCGCAAAAGCAUUUUGACCUGUCUAUGCCCAUGUUCACCAAGAUCGCGUACUAUAAGGCCGGCGUCAUUCCUGUCCGCUAUCGCCGCGUCUUGUGUUCCAAGCGAGGAGGAGUCAAGUUCGAGAUUAAAGGAAAUCCGAACUGGACCCUUGUGCUAAUCUAUAACGUUGGUGGCGCCGGCGACGUGAAUGCAGUGAGCAUCAAGGGCUCGAACACGCAAUGGAUUGCUAUGACUCGUAACUGGGGGCAAAACUGGCAGACUGGAACUGUUUUGACGGGGCAAAGCUUGUCAUUCCAAGUCACCGUGAGUGACGGGACGAAGAUAGAAUUUGAUAAUGCGGUGCCUGCUGGGUGGCAAUUUGGGCAGACAUAUGACGGGGGAAAGAACUUCUAG